GGUCCAGUGAUGUAGUGGCUAGCAUGUUGGUCUUCGAUCGCUUUGUUCGGUUCAUAACCAAAUGUCACAGGUUCGACCCCUGUCUGGAUCG